ACUCUCUGUUUGUUGUUCUGUUUGGAAUACACACUACAGCUAUUCAGGAAGUGAGCAUGGAUCCCAUGGCAGCAGCAAACAUGGCUGUAGAGGGAAUAAAACACAGCGCAGACAAGUUGGUGGCCGAAGUGUCUGAUGCUGUUUACAAUGCUCCAGAGAAUAUAUGUAACUCGGAAUACCUAAAGUCAAGUGGUCUCCUAAUGGAGGAUAUACGAGAAGGAAUAAAGGGGGUUGUCGUUGACGUAUUUGACAUCUUUGAAGGAACAAUACACACAGUGACCUACUAUCCAGACAUGAUGUUAACUGGAACAGUGGAUGCAAUCAGAUAUGUGACAAGCAUGAUGAAAGGUAUUUUACUAUUUGUUAACUGA
rnacentral:lncRNA from 1 species